AGUGAACGCUGGCGGUAGGCCUAACACAUGCAAGUCGAACGGCAGCACAGUAAGAGCUUGCUCUUACGGGUGGCGAGUGGCGGACGGGUGAGGAAUACAUCGGAAUCUACUUUUUCGUGGGGGAUAACGUAGGGAAACUUACGCUAAUACCGCAUACGACCUACGGGUGAAAGCAGGGGAUCUUCGGACCUUGCGCGAUUGUAUGAGCCGAUGUCGGAUUAGCUAGUUGGCGGGGUAAAGGCCCACCAAGGCGACGAUCCGUAGCUGGUCUGAGAGGAUGAUCAGCCACACUGGAACUGAGACACGGUCCAGACUCCUACGGGAGGCAGCAGUGGGGAAUAUUGGACAAUGGGCGCAAGCCUGAUCCAGCCAUACCGCGUAGGUGAAGAAGGCCUUCGGGUUGUAAAGCCCUUUUGUUGGGAAAGAAAAGCAGCAGGUUAAUACCCCGCUGUUCUGACGGUACCCAAAGAAUAAGCACCGGCUAACUUCGUG
rnacentral:rRNA from 1 species